GGUCAAGCUACUAAGGGCGUGCGGUGAAUGCCUUGGCGCCAAGAGUCGAUGAAGGACGUGGUAAGCUGCGAUAAGCUUCGGGGAGCUGCAAACGAGCUUUGAUCCGGAGAUUUCCGAAUGGGGAAACCCACCCGGGGUCAUGCCUGGGUAUCCUGGACUGAAUACAUAGGUCCUGGAAGGCAACGUGGGGAAGUGAACCAUCUCAGUACCCACAGGAACAGAAAUCAAGAGAGAUUCCGCUAGUAGCGGCGAGCGAACGCGGACAUAGCCCAAACCAUCGUGCUUGCACGGUGGGGUUGUAGGGCCUGUCGGGCCGUGAGGCCGAAGAGUUACAAAACAGCAGGGUAGUCGAACAGGUCUGGAAUGCCUGGCCACAGAGGGUGAAAGCCCCGUAGGCGAAACCUUGGCUGUCUCUUUGGGCAGGUACCUGAGUACCGCGGGACACGAGGAAUCCCGUGGGAAUCUGCGAGGACCAUCUCGCAAGGCUAAAUACUCCUUGGCGACCGAUAGUGAACCAGUACCGUGAGGGAAAGGUGAAAAGCACCCCGUCGAGGGGAGUGAAAUAGUUCCUGAAACCGCAUGCCUACAAGCAGUGGGAGGGCGUUUGGCGAGCAAUCGCCGUUGCCUGACCGCGUGCCUUUUGCAUAAUGAGCCGGCUAGUUAUUCUCAGUGGCGAGGUUAAGCGUAAGCGAGCCGAAGCGAAAGCGAGUCCGAAAUGGGCGCAUAGUCGCUGGGAAUAGACGCGAAGCGGGGUGAUCUACCCUUGGCCAGGGUGAAGCGCGGGUAACACCGCGUGGAGGCCCGAACCAGUGUUGGUUGAAAACAGCUUGGAUGAGCUGAGGGUAGGGGUGAAAGGCUAAUCAAACUCCGUGAUUGCCCGUUCUCUUCGAAAUGCUUUUAGGAGCAGCGUCGGGUGGUUGGCUCUGGUGGUAGAGCACUGAAUGGACUAGGGGCCUUACCAGGUUACUGAAUCCAAUCAAACUUCGAAUGCCAGAGACACAUAGCCCGGCAGUGAGACGGUGGGGGCUAAGCUUCAUCGUCGAAAGGGAAACAGCCCAGACUACCGACUAAGGUCCCUAACUUCAUGCUAAGUGGUAAAGGAUCUGGAGACGCACUGACAACCAGGAGGUUGGCUUAGAAGCAGCCAUCCUUUAAAGAAAGCGUAAUAGCUCACUGGUCAAGGGUCUCUGGGCCGAUAAUAUAACGGGGCUCAAGCAUGAGACCGAAGUCGUAGAAUGGACGAGCGCCUGCGGGCGCUCACAUUGGUAGAAGAGCGUUCCGUACGUAUGUAGUCAGAGCGAAAGCACUGAUGUCGAGCGUAUGGAAGUGACCCUGCCGGCAUAAGUAGCGAUAAGAGAGGUGAGAAUCCUCUCCGCCGUAAGCCUAAGGAUUCCUGAGCCAGGUUCGUCCGCUCAGGGUUAGUCGGGACCUAACGCGAGGCCGAAAGGCGUAGCGGAUGGACAUCCGGUCAACAUUCCGGAACUACCUGGACAUCGUUAUCACGAUGGGGGGACGCAGGAGGCUAGAUGAGUCUGGUUAGGGCCGCAAGGCGACCAGAUCGAGGGCUGUAGGGAGAUUGACCAGGCAAAUCCGGUCAGUCGUUGAACUGAGGGCCCAGAGCGAGAUCUUCGGAUCACAAAGUCAUUGACGCCACGCUGCCAAGAAAAGCCUCUAAGGAGAUGUUCGGGUACCCGUACCGCAAACCGACACAGGUAGGCGAGGAGAAAAUCCUCAGGCGCAAGUGAGAACACUCGUUUAGGAACUCGGCAAAUUGGCCCCGUAACUUCGGAAGAAGGGGUGCUCCCGUAGUGUGAUCCGGCUUGCCCGGUGAGCAUGAAGGAGUUGCAAUAAAGAGGCCCAGGCGACUGUUUACUAAAAACACAGGGCUCUGCAAAGUCGAAUACGACGUAUAGGGUCUGACGCCUGCCCGGUGCCGGAAGGUUAAAGGGAGAGGUUAGCUGCAAGGCGAAGCUUUGAACUGAAGCCCCGGUAAACGGCGGCCGUAACUAUAACGGUCCUAAGGUAGCGAAAUUCCUUGUCGGGUAAGUUCCGACCUGCACGAAUGGCGUAACGAUCUGGGCGCUGUCUCAACGAGUGACACUGCGAAUUUGUGGUACCGGUGAAGACGCCGGUUGCCCGCGACUAGACGAAAAGACCCCGUGCACCUUUACUACAACUUAGUAGUGAAUGUUGACGUGUCAUGCGCAGGAUAGGUGGGAGACGUUGAACCGAGCCUCUUGGGGUUCGGGGAGUCACCGGUGAGAUACCACCCUUGAUACUUUGACGUUCUAACCUCGACCCGUUACCCGGGUCAGGGACACUGCUAGGCGGGUAGUUUGACUGGGGCGGUCGCCUCCUAAACUGUAACGGAGGCGCGCGAAGGUUCGCUCAGGCUGUUUGGAAAUCAGCCGUAGAGUGCAAAGGCAUAAGCGAGCUUGACUGCGAGACAUACACGUCGAGCAGGUGGGAAACCAGGCCUUAGUGAUCCGGUGGUUCCGCAUGGAAGGGCCAUCGCUCAACGGAUAAAAGGUACGCCGGGGAUAACAGGCUGAUCUGGGCCAAGAGUUCACAUCGACGCCCAGGUUUGGCACCUCGAUGUCGGCUCAUCGCAUCCUGGAGCUGUAGCAGGUUCCAAGGGUCCGGCUGUUCGCCGGUUAAAGCGGUACGUGAGCUGGGUUUAGAACGUCGCGAGACAGUUCGGUCUCUAUCUGUCGUGGGCGCAGGAGAUUUGAGUGGGGCUGACCUUAGUACGAGAGGACCGGGUUGGACGAACCUCUAGUGUACCAGUUGUCACGCCAGUGGCAGCGCUGGGUAGCUACGUUCGGAAGGGAGAAACGCUGAAAGCAUCUAAGCGUGAAACCCUCCACGAGAUGAGAUCUCCCUGGACGCAAGUCCCUGAAGGCUCCUGGUAGACCACCAGGUGAUAGGCCAGGUGUGUAAGGGUGGUGACAUCCUCAGCUUACUGGUACUAAUCAGCCGUGAGGCUUGACCAU
rfam:Acidobacteria bacterium DSM 100886, complete genome.